rnacentral:rRNA from 1 species
GACGAACGCUGGCGGCGUGCCUAAUACAUGCAAGUAGAACGCUGAAGAGAGGAGCUUGCUCUUCUUGGAUGAGUUGCGAACGGGUGAGUAACGCGUAGGUAACCUGCCUUGUAGCGGGGGAUAACUAUUGGAAACGAUAGCUAAUACCGCAUAACAAUGGAUGACACAUGUCAUUUAUUUGAAAGGGGCAAUUGCUCCACUACAAGAUGGACCUGCGUUGUAUUAGCUAGUAGGUGAGGUAACGGCUCACCUAGGCGACGAUACAUAGCCGACCUGAGAGGGUGAUCGGCCACACUGGGACUGAGACACGGCCCAGACUCCUACGGGAGGCAGCAGUAGGGAAUCUUCGGCAAUGGGGGCAACCCUGACCGAGCAACGCCGCGUGAGUGAAGAAGGUUUUCGGAUCGUAAAGCUCUGUUGUAAGUCAAGAACGAGUGUGAGAGUGGAAAGUUUACACUGUGACGGUAGCUUACCGGAAAGGGACGGCUAACUACGUG